rnacentral:lncRNA from 1 species
CUGUCGGCGGCAGGAUGGGCGCGCGGAGGGGAGGCGUCGUGCCGCCAACUCUGACUUGAUUUGCUUUAAGAGAUAAGUAACGCCAGCACGUGGCUUUAAGUCGGCCCCAGGUUUGCCAGUUCAGAUCCUGGGUGUGGACAUGGCAUGGCUUGGCAGGCCAUGCUGUGGCAGGCGUCCCACAUAUAAAGUAGACAAAGACAGGCACAGAUGUUAGCUCAGAGCCAGUCUUCCUCAGCAAAAAGAGGAAGAUUGGCAGCAGAUGUUAGCUCAGGGCUAAUCUUCCUCAAAAAAAAGAGAAACUCUCAAGUAUUUUUUUUUCUCCCCAAAGCCCCCGUACACAGUUGUAUAUCUUAGUUUUAAGCCCUUCUAUGUGGGACGCUGCCACAGCGUGGCUUGAUGAGCCAUGUGUAGGUCCACACCCAGGAUCUGAACUGGCAAACCCUGGGCUGCUGAAGCAGAGUGCACCAACUUAACCACUAAGCCACCAGGCCAGUCCCUGUUUUAUCUUUCUGAGUUCAUGUUUAUUUUUUUCUGAUUCCUUUUCAUAGAUAAUGUUCUUUCAUAAGUGCAGUUUUUUCUUAUUUUCCUUCCAUUAUACAGUUUUUAAAGCCUUUUUUCCGCUUCCUGCAUUGACUCCCUCACGCAGGUUCCUUUUCUCUGCUUGCUUUGGUGUGUCCGCUCCCUGCUGAAAGCUUUCCCGAAAUGUCUGCUGAGCCUUCUUUCUGUUCAAAUUUAAGAGUCAGAUGCUGCAGGAGACAGGAUCAAGCUCAGCUGAGAGUGUCAGAAAACCUCCAAGUAAAAGUGGCUUAGAGGCUGGCCCGGUGGCGUAGUGGUUAAGUUCAUGAGCUCUGCUUUGGCAGCCUGGGGUUCGUGGGUUCGGGUCCUGGGCCUGGACCUACACACGGCUCAUCAAGCUGCACUGUGGCUGCAUCCCACAUACAAAAUAGAGGAAGAUCGGCACAGAUGUUAGUUCAGCAACAAUCUUCCUCACGAAAAAACAAACAAAAAAACAAAGUUGCUUAGACAAGACAGAAGAUGGUUCCUCUCUUUAGUAGAGGUGGUCCAGGGCUCGUGUUAUGGGACCGUAGUCCUCAGGGACCCCGUCUUGUUCUCUGCUGCUCCACCUUCCUCAACAGGGGGCUCGCGUCUCAUGGGCCAAGAUGGCUGCCCAAGCUUGUGUGCCCACCAGCGGGAAGAAGAGCAAGGAGGGUGAACUCCACCAGCUGACAUCCCGUUGGCCAGAACUUGGCACACCCAGCUACAAGGAACGCUGGCUCUGUAGCUUUUACGAGAGACGUACCCAGGUCUGCUAGUGGUGGUGUUACUAAGAAAUAAGGGAAGAAGGUAUAUCGGGAACAACUGGCAGGGGCCGCCCUUAAGAGCUGGGUGGAAGCUGUGCAUUCCUGACUGGGCGGGGCGCCCAUGCCCUAGACCCCUCCAGAGUGGUCCUGGGCGAGCUGGUGAAGCCUCCACUGCCUGUAGCUGAGUAUCUUUCCUGUUUCUUCUGGGACCGUUCCAGCUCUCCCACAGGGUGCAAGCCUGGCAGGCUUCCGUCUGAAAGCAGAACCAGAAAAGGAGCUUUGGUGUUCCACCCCACGGGUGCAGAUUUCCAGUUACACUCCUUCUUUUCGGUCUCUUCCCUCUGUGAUUCUCUCAAGUUAAACCCUCAGCAGCAGCAGCAGCAGCAUCUUUUCAGUGCUGUGCAUUGGGCACUGUCCUAACUGCUUUACGUGUGUCUCCACUUGUGACCCCUGCUCAGCCUAGUGAGCCAGUGGUGUUGCAGGCUGCAGGAGUCUGGUGCAGGGUCCCCCUGGGACGGCUCACCGGCUGCACCUGGACUGACAACUGAGGCUGGGCGGGGAAAGCCCUGUGCACCGGCGAAGUUCACGCGCCCAGGGCGGGAGGCACCAGUCAGCCACACCCAGGCCAUACUCCCAGACCUCACCUGGAUGAGGGCACUGCCAUCUGCUCUGUGAAAAACAAUGAUGGGAAAUCUCGUUUAUAAUGGAGUCAGGAGGCCAGAGGGGAGCUCCCAGCAGUGCGGCUCCAGGCCAGUUACAGGAAAGACAGUGAAUUACAGAACCAACAGAAGCGUCAUCAGGAAAGAAUGUCGGUUACAGGAAGAAAUGUAUGUUGCAUCCCAAACAGAAAUCAACAACCCCAGCAACUCAGCCAAUGAGAAACCAUCACCGCCCUGAACUUUUCCUUUUUUCAAAGGACUUUUGUUCAAAACAACCCUCCCAAUUUCCUCCUUUUUCCCUAUAAAGUAACGAUCUGCUCCCUUGUUGGCUGGAUUUGCCUGUGGUUGGCCAUAGCAUGCACGUCCCGAAUUGAAAUUCUUUGGCUAUUCCUGAAUAAACUUGUUUUGC